CACCUGGGAUGAGGCACAGGGGCACGGGAAAACCAACCAGAGCGUGAGGAGUCCAAAGGGGCUCUGGUCCCAGGAAAGACUACUGACUGCCAAAACAGACCUGAAGGUAGCAACUAUGUGCUGUCACCCCCAGUGCCAUUUCAAUCACCUUUAGAAUAAUGCCCAGGCAAGAGAAAAAUGGAGGCUCAGAUGCAGAACAGCCCAAAGGAAAAAAAUGUGCAAGGAAAAUAUUGGCCUGCA